AAUGAACGCUGGCGGCAGGCCUAACACAUGCAAGUCGAGCGGAUGGAGGAGACGUGCGCCUGGAUUCAGCUGCGGACGGAUGGGUAAUGAAUAGGUGGCUAACCUGUCGAUGGGGAUAAGAUAACGAAGCGAGACCUGAGCCCGCAUAGGUCAAGAUGGUGAAAGGCGGGGAUCAUAAGAGAUAAAGCGACCAGAUGAGCCUAGGACGGAUUAGCUAGUUGGUGGGGUAAAGGCCUACCAAGGCGACGAUCCGUAACUGCGCUGAGAGGAUGAUCAGUCACACUGGAACUGAGACACGGUCCAGACUCCUACGGGAGGCAGCAGUGGGGAAUAUUGGACAAUGGGCGAAAGCCUGAUCCAGCCAUGCCGCGUGUGUGAAGAAGGUCUUCGGAUUGUAAAGCACUUUAAGUUGGGAGGAAGGGCAGUAAGUUAAUCCCUUGCUGUUUUGACGUUACCAACAGAAUAAGCCCCGGCUAACUUCGUG
rnacentral:rRNA from 1 species